GCCAGCAUGGUGUAGUGGUUUGAGUGUUGGACUAGGACUCUGGAGACCAGGGUUCAAUUCCCCACUUGGCC